rnacentral:rRNA from 1 species
UACGUAGGGUGCGAGCGUUAAUCGGAAUUACUGGGCGUAAAGCGUGCGCAGGCGGUUCGUGAAGUCCGAUGUGAAAGCCCUGGGCUUAACCUAGGAAUGGCAUUGGAAACUGGCGGGCUAGAGUGUGGCAGAGGGGGGUGGAAUUCCUGGUGUAGCAGUGAAAUGCGUAGAGAUCAGGAGGAACACCGAUGGCGAAGGCAGCCCCCUGGGCUGACACUGACGCUCAGGCACGAAAGCGUGGGGAGCAAACAGG